rnacentral:lncRNA from 1 species
CCAUCUGCACAUAGUUGAACAACCCUACAGAGAGGGAACAGAGUGAAACUUCCCACCCAUUUAGGAUUGACCUCCCAGUGCAGCCUGCUUCAGGAGGGCCACCCAGCAAACCAAGGUGAUGCAGAAUGUUGGGGACUAGCACUCACAUUGUUCUAUCAGAUCACUGUGCAAUUAAUAACCUUUUGAGGUUCCUUGAGGCAUCACAUUGUCUUAAAUGCCAACAAAUACAUGUCCACAUGUUUCCAAGUUUGGAAAGCCAAGUGCAGGCUGAAUGAUAGUCUUCCAGCUCUGCAGGCUCCCUCUGUUUUCCUUAGAGGCUUUACCAAGAAAACCAAUGACUGUCAAAGACUCCCUUUACUUCUCUUGGCCUGAAUGGCUACAUGAUAUUACUUGUUUAUAGUCCAUUAGCCGUUGAAAACUGCUCAGAACGUCAGGGGGGCAGAAGAGCUGCCUCCGGGAUCCAUCUCUGCUUUUAGUAGGAAGGCCUAAUUGGAGAGAAAAGUACUAUUUAAAUAACCAUCUCCAUGGAAAACAAAUAAGGUUGAAAGACCACGAUUUCAGUGUAGGCUUUGCUUUUUUCUUUUCUUUCUUCUUUUUUAAAUGUCCUAUAAUUGAAAAAUACCAAGCUUAACUUUAUCCCUGCCAUCCCUCUUACACAAACUGGGCCCGCAGGCAAUAAGCUGCCCAAGUAAGCAAAUACUAUACUUAGUUUGGCAGCUGAGAUUUUCUUAUAAAAAAAAAAUACAAUUCCAGCUGAAUAGCUCCUUUCUGUGACUCCUCUAGUUUCACACUUGGUUGAGGUGAACAGGGUGUAUUCAGGUUAAUGGCAAAUUGGAAUCUGGGUUCUCAACAAAGAGCCUUUACAUGACUGCCCAGGGCACAGAAACUGUGAGGCUCUGGAAGCCAUGGAAACUGUGCAAACACCAAAACAAGACCCAAAAUCAAUUGAAUUGUUGUUGGUCUGACAUCCCCAAGGAAUCUAUAAACCUGUAUCCUGAUAUUAUGAUAUUGAUUUUUUUUCAAUUAUCCUAAUACUCUACAAGUUCUCCUUGAAAUCAAAGUGAAAGGGAAUUUCUUUCCAACCUCAGUAAGGAUAUUGUGUGAUUAUUUUCAAGCCAAAAAGGGAAUAGGGACAAGUUGAAGGUUACAAACUGCUGUAGUAGACUGUCUAAGAUAGGCACCAAGCAAAAUAAAUAAGCAGACGAAGUCUUCUAAAUGGCAAAGUGGAGGGGUCAUUUGGUUUUCUCCUAAGAGAAUACCCUCAUUGAACCUGGGGAUAACAGCAGUGUGGAAACUCCAGGGGAUCUUUCCAGCUCCUCUGACCUAAAUGCAAGGCCUGGAACACCCACAUGCCUGCUUCUCCUGAGGUGGAAAACCAACUCUUUCAUCCCAGAGUCACUCUAAUCCUGGGCAGUUAGCAAAGAUCGCUGGAAACAAAGUAUCAGUGGAGCUGAGGCAGUGUACCAGUGAGGACCAGCCAACACCAUUGAGUAAUCAUCAUUCAUAUGACUUUGUUUACACCCAGGCUGGGGGGAGGCCUAGGGAAACUCUGGUGAUGAGGGUAAAACCAAUCUUAGACAUCAGUUAUAAAAUCCUAGUGUUCCAUGAACGAUGCUAGCAGCUUGAUAUUUACCAUGUCAUUGAAAACACACAAAACUCUGUCUUCUACUCUACAGCAUCAAAUCCAAAAUCUUUGGAGGCUGACCUGUUACUUGAAGUUCCAAGUUGCCUUUUGCCUUCCAUGUCCCUUUUCUUAUUUCCCUGAUCAUUAGGUAGGAGUUACUACCAGCUCAGACAAUGUAAAUCUGUUUGCCGACAGGCUCUUAAACAUAGAAUAGUGGCAGAUGUUACGUGUGUCAUGGGCAGCCUGAGGAGUGAGAAGGAAGGAGUCUCUGUGUAGAAUCUCCCUCAACCUCUUUAUUUUAAAGAGAAGGUAUUUGGUUGAUGAACUGUUUUGACUUUCAAGAGACCCUGGACAUUUAUAAAAACUAAGCAUUUUAGAAACAAGUGGCUCUAAGAAAUUCUCUCUAAGCAAACUCUAGUUAUAUCUGGGGAUAAUUUUCUUAGGUGAAAGCCAGUUCGGGAUUGUCAGGCACAUCCUCCAAUGCCAGACUCCAUGGUAAAACCCUGUCUCAUAUCCACUUCAUUCCAGGGAACAUAACAGAGUGGCCACAGUAGGGAAAUGGCUCUGGCAUGGUACCCUGGCAACUCUGCACACCUUGAGGCCACACGGGCAAGGCUACCUGUGCCUUGUUGGAAUGCCUUGAGAUCAUCCCAAGAACAUGGCAAGGUGGGCAGUUUGUGAGAAGCUGUCACAGACCACUUUGUCCACCUUCCCAUCUCAUAGCAAGUGUUCGCGAAACAUUUUUUUCAGCCUCGGACUUUCUACCUGGCCCCUCCUUGGGGGAUAGCUACAGCCUAUAAAGUGAAUUCACUGCCCUCUAGAAUUGAUGCCCCACCACUGAUGUUGACUGUCCCUCAGCUCCUUUUGCUUUGGUGUUGUCCUUGGGACAAGGGAGCUGACUGGAAAGUAAACUGUCCUAGUCCACUGGAGUCUUUACUUGCCAACACUAUGGCAGAGUGGCAGCUCACCUGGCCAGGCAGUGACCCCUGUUGCACAGGGCCAGUCUGACCAGUUGACAGUAGCCGCUUUUCUUUUUCCCGGAUGCCCUAGAAAGCCCUCUCUACCCCAAUACUGUCCCCCGAGAGGUUUCUGGAUACCCCUGACCCUGCAUGUCCACAGUAAUGAUGAGCUCCACCCCAGUCACCUGCUCCGGCGGCAAAUGAUCUAUGUGCCAGUGAUUGGGGCACUUUUUCUCACCAAGGAGCAAAGUGCAGAACAAAUUCCCUCUUUAGGUCUAUGAAUGUUUGCUGUUACACCCCACCUUCACCACACCUGAGUGGUGCCCUGGCAGCCUUUGGGCACAGAUGAUGCAGAGGUGUUGCCGGGGCAGGUCAGGUAGGAGUGACACGUGCAGAGAGAUUCUGAGGCCAAGGCCCCUAAAAUUGAUUCGUGAUGUGUGUGGUGGGAGACGGAUGAGGUGGUGUCAACUCUCACAGCUGGUAUUCACCCCUCUCCAUGGUUUAAGGAGCAAGGCUGCAUCUUGACAAAGCAUGCCUGGGGAAUUAAAAGGGAGCUUUCUUAGCUUUUCCUCCUGAAUCUGGCACUGCCUAUAAAUUCUCUUAAAUAAAUCUAUUUUCUGGAAAAAAUUAGGAAUGGAGAAAAUUAGGUUUACUUUAGUUUGACUCCUUUUCUAAGGAGGUUUCUAAAUAAAUCACCUGGAAACAUUCAGAUUAUGAAGGUUUCUACAACAAGAGGUCUUUGUAAUGUGUUGCUUUUGGUUACCAGGUCCAGAAUUCUCCACAGCGAAGUUUCUCUCUGCAUGCCAGGCACUAUUAACAGCUGCCCGAGGUUUGCAGGGGUGGCAAUGAGGAGAAAGGGGAGAAACUGGCCUUCUGAGGGGCUUCCAUGUGCCUGGCACUAUCUCUGAGGGACUUAAUUGGGAUAAGAGAUCUGAAAGCAUCACCUUUAGAGGGAAAAACAGAGGCUCCGAGUUGCUAUUUGUCCCAGAGUUACACAUCUGAUAAAUGGCACAUUCAAACCCAAGUUUUUCUCAGAAGAAAAAAAAUUUAAGUAAACACAAUAUAAUUUUAGUAAAUACAGUAAGGUUAUGCAGCAAUAUUUUGGAGAAAACAGCAAUCAUUUAAGGUUUGCUCUUCAAUGAAGGAAAGAGAAAGCCAAGAAGUUAAAAAGCCAUGGAACAAAUUAAACUGAAGCCAUAAAGAAGGUUCAAAUUUAUAAAUUCUGAAUAACAGGCGGUGAAGAUGAAAGAAGGAUGUCCAAAGUGCAAAGCUGGAAGGACAGAAUUAUUUAAAGAAAUACUGUUUUAGAAUUUUCAAGUCCAGUAUAUAUGGAAACUUCUCAAAUGACUAGGUAAGAACAACUUUCUGGAAGAACAAAGAAAUCCUGUGCUUUUUCCUCACGGAAGAACACACUGGGUUUUCCUUAAUUUUGAAAACUGGUCAUCAGCAUGUGGGAAAAUAGGUAUUUCUUGAUACCCAGAGACUGCUCUUGUGAUUUUCCCUCCUUGAUCUGUUUGGGCAGGAGUUUGUCUGAAGAACCUGCCAGAACAGCUUUCCUUUUAUUCAUCGUCUCAAAAAGAUAAACCUCUGUUUUCACUGGUUUUUCUCUCUUGUUUUUCUGUCUUACAUUUUAUUGAUUCCUGCUCUUAUUUUUAUCAUUCCCUUUGUUCUCUUUGCUUUGGGUUUACUUUGUCCUGCUUUGUCUGGUGUCCCAGUGUGAAGGUUGAGAUCAAGUUGAGAGCUUUCUUCUUUUCCCGUAUGAGAGUUUAGUGCUACAUACAUUUCCCUCUAAGCACUCUUUAGGUGCCUCUCAUAAAUUUUGGUAUGUUUUCAUUUUCAUUCGGUUCAAGAUACUUCUUUUCCCCAAUAUUUUAUUUUAUUUAUUUAUUUAUUUUUGUCUUUUUGCCAUUUCUAGGGCCGAUCCCUUGGCAUGUGGAGGUUCCCAGGCUAGGGGUCGAAUUGGAGCUGUAGCCACCAGCCUACGCCAGAGCCACAGCAACGCGGGAUCCAAGCCGCGUCUGCAACCUACAGCACAGCUCACAGCAACGCGGAUCCUUAACCCACUGAGCAAGGGCAGGGAUUGAACCCACAACCUCAUGGCUCCUAGUUGGAUUCGUUAACCACUGAGCCACGAUGGGAACUCCCCCCCAAUAUUUUAAAAUAAACUUUUUUAAGAACAUAACAAAGUUGAACAGAUUCAUAACAAAGCUGAACAGAAAGUAUAGAGAUGUUCACUAUACCUGAGGUCCGCCCCACCCUGACACAGCCUCCCUUCUCCUUCGAUCUCCCCCACCAGAGUGGUACACUUAUUAUAAUGGAUGAGUCCACACUGACACAUCACUAUUACCCAAAGCUCAUGGUUUACAUUAGGGUUCACCCUUGGCAUUGUACAUUCUGUGGGUUUUGACAAAUGUAUAAUGAUGCAUAUCCACCAUUAUGGUAUCACACCAAUAGUUUCUCUGCCCUAAAAAUCCUCUGUGCUUUACCUCCCUCCACUACAAUCCCUGGAAACCACUGGUCUUUUUCCCGUCUCUAUAGUUUUCAGAAUGUCACAGUUGGAAUUACACAGUAUAUAGCCUUUUCAGAUUGGUUUCUUUCACUUAGUAAUAUGAAUUUGUUUCCACCUUGUCUUUUCAUCACUUGAUAGCUCAUUUCUUUUUUUGCUGAAUAAUAUUCCAUUGUUUGGAUGUGCCACAGUUUACUUAUCCAUUUACCUACUGAAAGACAUCUUGGUUGCUUGCAAGUUUUGGCAAUUAUGAAUAAAGCU